rnacentral:rRNA from 1 species
CCCAGACUCCUACGGGAGGCAGCAGUGGGGGAUAUUGCACAAUGGGGGGAACCCUGAUGCAGCGACGCCGCGUGGGUGAAGAAGUAUUUCGGUAUGUAAAGCCCUAUCGGCAGGGAAGAAAUUGGACGGUACCUGACUAAGAAGCCCUGGCUAACUACGUGCCAGCAGCCGCGGUAAUACGUAGGGGGCAAGCGUUAUCCGGAUUCACUGGGUGUAAAGGGAGCGUAGACGGCCAUGCAAGCCUGGAGUGAAAGCCCGGGGCCCAACCCCGGGACUGCUCUGGGAACUGUGCGGCUGGAGUGCGGGAGGGGCAGGCGGAAUUCCUGGUGUAGCGGUGAAAUGCGUAGAUAUCAGGAGGAACACCGGCGGCGAAGGCGGCCUGCUGGACCGCGACUGACGUUGAGGCUCGAAAGCGUGGGGAGCAAACAGGAUUAGAUACCCCAGUAC